GAUGAAGAACGCAGCAAAAUGCGGUAAGUAAUGUGAAUUGUAGAAUUCAGUGAAUCAUCGAAUCUUUGAACGCACAUUGCGCCCGCCAGUAUUCUGGCGGGCAUGCCUGUUCGAGCGUCAUUUCAACCCUCAAGCACAGCUUGGUGUUGGGACUCGCGUUAAUUCGCGUUCCCCAAAUUGAUUGGCGGUCACGUCGAGCUUCCAUAGCGUAGUAGUAAAACCCUCGUUACUGGUAAUCGUCGCGGCCACGCCGUUAAACCCCAACUUCUGAAUGUUGACCUCGGAUCAGGUAGGAAUACCCGCUGAACUUAAGCAUAUCAAUAAGCGGAGGA
rnacentral:misc_RNA from 1 species